rnacentral:lncRNA from 1 species
CCAUGCUCCACGCCAUUCGUGAAGCUUCCAUGCCAUUUUCUCUUUAUCCACCAUGAAAUCAAGUUUUCUUCACUUUCCUUUCUAUGUUUUCUUUUCCUUUCUUCUCCAAACUUCUUGAGCACUAAAUUUACAGCCUUUAACCCCAAUUUCCAGCACAUCUAAACCCUAGGAGAAGAAGAAAGAAAAAGAGAGAAAGGAAGAAAAAGCUUAGUUUUGGUGAUUCAAGCAAGGAACGGUAAGAAUUCUUGUUUUUGGCUUGAGUAGUCUUUGAAAAUAAGUUAGUGACUUAGAGAAAUGUCUUGUGGCAGCAAAGAUUGGCUUGAUUGGAGAAAAAUUGGUAACAUGUAAGCCAAUAAGCCCAUGGGUAUAUGAAGGACUCAAAGUGGAAAAGGAAAACGGUAAGCUUAACGCUCUGUUUUAAAGCCUACGGUUAGUUGAAUAUUGUGAGGAAUUAUGGUUCUUGAAAGGAUUUAUUUGCCGAAGCUAGUUGAAUAUUGUUAAGAUUGUAUGUCAUGUUAUUUGAAAGAAAUAAAAAAAAAAGAAUAUUGUGGAUGAAGGAUUGAGAAAUAGAGUAUUGAAAGUUAGAUAGAUAAGGAUGUGUGUAAACUAGGAAAUAAUCGAGUGAAAGUGAGAAUAAUUGUUCCUGCAAUAUAUGUGGAUUAUGUGUGGAAAUAUAAGAUGGAUUUGGGCGAAAAUUAUUUAGAAAGGUUGAAGUAGGCACGUGACAUCAUAAAUAAGUUGUCGGUGAUAUAAUCUAAGGAAUUUCGUAAGCAAUUGAUGUAAGUAAUUUUGGUAAAAAUGUAUUAAGAUGUGAGUUAAUUGAAGAUGGUUUCAUGAUAGGAUGAAAAAUAUAAAUUUGAGUAAGGAUUAAUUGAUUGAAGUGUUGCCCGUAUAUGCAUAUAAUUAAAUAUAUUGAGUUCGUAUUAUUGUUAGGAAGUGCCAAGAUAAGGAUAAAGUACUGUGCUGGCAUGCCAGAGUAGACAUCUAGAAACCGACCAGUGAAAAUAGUUAGAGAUACCUCCGAACAAAUAGCGACUUAAUAUCUCGUUGUUGCCAGGUGAGUCAACUUGCAUUUCAAAAUCGUUUUGGGAGACAUAAUUGUAUUGGUAUGAAACAUUGAAUGAUUUAUUCCAACUUGUCUUUAAAAAACGUGUGCCUUGGGAACAAGCCUUUGAUAAAAUAUUUUGAUGUUGUGAAAAUGUGAAAUGUGUAAUAAGACGAACUUAUGUGCUCCUAUACUGUGUUGAUAUAUAUAUAUGUGUGUAUACGAAUAAUGUUGUGUAAUGAUAUUGACCCGACUAUGUGUGAGUAGAAGUGUGCAUAAGCUGAUGCUGACCAGGCUAUGUGAGAGGGGGAGUGCGCAUAAGCCGAUGCUGACCCGGCUAUGUGUGAGGGGGAGUGUGCAUAAGCCGAUGCUGACCUAGUUAUGUGUUAGUAGGAGUGCACAUAAGUUGAUGCUGACCCAGCCAUGUGCUAGUGGGAGUGCAUAUGAGCUGCUGAUGAUGGGAGGGUGUGUAUGGUGAUGGAUAUAUAUAUAUAUAUAUAUAUAUACAUAGAUAGAUAUGUGUGUUAUAGAAAGUUCAUGAGUAUGGUAUAUAAUGUUGCACAUGUGAAUCUUGCAUGUUGAACUUUGGAAAUUAUUAUGCGUUUCAUGUUGGUUUUUUGUCGUUUUAGCAAGAUGGCUUUUCUUGAAAGAAAGGAAACUUUUUCAUGGUGCUUUGUUUCUCGCUGCUGUGAGAUUCAUUCUCACUAUAGCGAGAAACUCUCAAAUUUGGAAGGGUAAUACUGGUUCGGAAUCUCGCUGCAGCGAGGACCCGUCGUUUACUUGACUUGAAUUGCACGAAUGCUAUUAAAGUUUUCACUCUUCAAAUCCUUUGUUGAGCAUGGACCCUUUUUAUCAAGUGAUUUACUCAUUUGGGGUUUACAUGAGGGGUUUUGAUAAGAGCUAAACUAAAUUGCAUUGUUUUAAAGAUAAAUGCAUCAUGAUUUUCUUUAAACCUUCCUUAUUGUUUGCUCUUUCCUUUCUAUGUUCACUCAUUGAGUUUGUACUCACGUUUUUUUUUUAAAUUCAUGUUUUAGGUUUUCUGAGUUAAAGAUGAUUGGAUCC